GCGUGAAUGAUGAAGGCCUUAGGGUUGUAAAGUUCUUUCGCCGAUGAAGAUAAUGACGGUAGUCGGAGAAGAAGCCCCGGCUAACUUCGUGCCAGCAGCCGCGGUAAUACGAAGGGGGCUAGCGUUGUUCGGAAUUACUGGGCGUAAAGCGAGCGUAGGUUGCGCCGCAAGUCAGGGGUGAAAUCCCAGAGCUUAACUCUGGAACUGCCUUUGAAACUGCGGUGCUGGAAUCUCAGAGGGGGUAGCGGAAUUCCAAAUGUAGGGGUGAAAUCCGU
rnacentral:rRNA from 1 species